CUACGGGACGCUGCAGUGGGGAAUAUUGCACAAUGGAGGAAACUCUGAUGCAGCAACGCCGCGUGGAGGAUGACACUUUUCGGAGCGUAAACUCCUUUUAUAUAGGAAGAAGAUGACGGUACUAUAUGAAUAAGCGCCGGCUAACUCCGUGCCAGCAGCCGCGGUAAUACGGAGGGCGCAAGCGUUACUCGGAAUCACUGGGCGUAAAGAGCGUGUAGGCGGAUUAAAAAGUCAGAAGUGAAAUCCUAUAGCUUAACUAUAGAACUGCUUCUGAAACUCUUAAUCUAGAAUAUGGGAGAGGUAGAUGGAAUUUCUGGUGUAGGGGUAAAAUCCGUAGCGAUCAGAAGGAAUACCGAUUGCGAAGGCGACCUACUAGAACAUUAUUGACGCUGAGACGCGAAAGCGUGGGGAGCAAACAGGAUUAGAUACCCCUGUAGUC
rnacentral:rRNA from 1 species